GGACAUUAUAUACUGUUAAAAGGAACCAUUCACCAACAAGACAUAACAAUUAUCAAUAUUUAUGCACCAAAGAAUGGUGCUGCAACAUUCAUAAAAAAAACUCUCCUCAAGUUCAAGAAUCAAAUAGACCACAACACAAUAAUUAUGGGUGACUUCAACACACCUCUCUCACCAUUGGACAGAUCCUCCAAACAAAAGUUGAAUAAAGAAACUAUAGAACUCAAUAACACAAUCAAUAACCUAGACUUGACUAACAUAUAUAGAAUAUAUCAACCAUCAUCAAGUGGAUAUACUUUUUUCUCAGCAGCACAUGGAUACUUCUCAAAAAUAGACCAUAUAUUAUGCCAUAGGGCAACCCUUAGUAAAUAUAAAGGUGUGGAGAUAAUACCAUGCAUUUUAUCUGAUCAUAAUGGAAUGAAACUGGAAAUCAAUGAUAAAAAAAGGAAGGAAAAAUUCUACAUCACUUGGAAAAUGAACAAUAUGUUACUGAAUGAUCAAUGGGUUACAGAAGACAUAAAGGAGGAAAUCAAAAAAUUCUUAGAGAUAAAUGAAAAUACAGACACAACAUAUCGGAAUCUAUGGGACACAAUGAAAGCAGUUUUAAGAGGGAAAUUCAUUGCCUAGAGGUCAUUCCUCAAAAAAAGAAAAAAACAACUAAAUGAUCUCACAUUUCAUCUCAAAGCCCUAGAAAAGCAAGAGCAAAUGUAGCAGAAGGCAGGAAAUAAUUAAAAUCAGAGUGGAAACCAACGAAAUUGAAACAUAAGAAACUAUUGAAAAAAUUGACAAAACUAAAAGUUGGUUCUUCGAAAAAAUAAAUAAGAUUGACAGACCCUUAGCCAUGCUAACAAAGAGAAGAAGAGAGAGAACUCAAAUUACGAACAUACAGGAUGAAAAAGGCAAUAUCACAACAGAUGCUACAGAAAUACAGAAGAUAAUUAGAAAUUAUUUUUGAAAACGUAUAUUCCAAUAAAAUAGAAGAUAGUGAAGACAUCGAUAAAUUUCUUAAGUCAUAUGAUUUGCCCAGAUUGAGUCAGGAGGAUACACACAAUUUGAACAGACCAAUAUCAAUGGAUGCAAUAGAAGAAGUCAUCAAAAG
rnacentral:lncRNA from 1 species